CCCAUUUUAGGUCCUAUUUCUGCAGGACAUUCUGCCUUUGACAGCCCUUCCGUCCACCCAUGCAAAUCCACCCGCAAAACAGGCUUUUAAGAAACAAUGUAAAACCAAAAGAUAUUGCAGCUUUCCCAGUUCUUGGCAAGGCUCUUAGGAACGAGAAGAGGAAACACAGAAGGGAAGGAAAAGCAGAUGACAGAGGAUGGAAAAAGGGGUUGUUUUGUUUUGGUGUUUUAAAAAAACAAAACACACACUAAGCCUCUUCCUUAGGCACUCUUGUCUCAUUAGCGUUUUCUGUCCUCUUUCUUCCCAAACUGUGAUAUUUAACGAUUUCAGUACAAAAACAGUCUGAGGGUACUUCAUGUAAACUCAGCAAUAAUCAGCCGCACGGCCAAUAAACUCUUCACCCUCAUAGUUUAUUUGCUGCUAAGCCUUGGCCUGCAGCCUUGGAAUUUAUUCUGCCUGCACUACAGCUAUUUCCUUGUAAACAGGAAGCCCCCUCAAAUUUGCAUUACAGUAAACUCAUUUACUUCAUUUAGUGUCAGUCUUAUCUCAGAAAGAUAAAGCAGCGAGGACAGGUGUACCAGGCUCCAGCAGAGACAAAUUGCAAUAGGGGGGUAAAACCUUUGCAAUAUUUCUUGAGGAGAUAACAUCAGAAGCAAAAGGAUGCUGUUGCUGGGCUGUGGUUGCCCGCCAGAGAUAAACUGAACGCAUUCCUGCGAGAAGAGUGCUGCAAUAAGGCAGAGACAUUUAUUUCCAAGCGUGGAUGUGAUAUUCCAGUGACCUUCCUGCUGUCUGUCCCAGUGACAGCCAGGAGCCCAGUGCAAUGACGGCUGCUCAGAGCCCAGCGUUACAAAGCUACGCUCACGCUGCUCCGAGGAACUGCUCUCACACACAGCAAUAAUAAAAAAAAAAAACCAUGUGGAAAAACUGUUUUGAUUUCAAACCAGUGUAAGAGAGGACUUUGUGUUGGUUUUGGUUUUUUUUACUGUUACUAUAUCAACCUGCAUUUAACCAGCCGAUUUAUAUAAUUUGAAAUGAAUCACUUUGCCAGUGAUACAGAAUAUUUAAGCAUACUCAACACACCAUGUCUUUUUUAAUGAGAGGUAUCAAAAAAAAAAAAAAAAAAAACCAACCAGAAACCAGUAUGAAGACAUCUGACACCAGAAUAACGGUCACAAUUUCCUACUGUAUGAGGAAAUCCCAGGUUUCAGUUAGAAGCUGAGAAGUUCAGUCAUUUCAAGCAAUCUAGAGCCGUUUGUGGUCCCAGGCUUAGGUUCUUCCACAUGCAGCUCUAGAAGCAAGGCAUUUCAGCCACCUAACCCUUCACCUUUCCCCCUACUCUGCAAAACUUCCUCUUGCACCCAGCUGCUGUCUCCUGCCCCGCGGAGCCGAACGUGGAACAGGUCCGUUGGGGAAGGUUUCUCCUCUGCCAGUGAAGUUCCUGAUCACCACGGAGCAGCGCUGAGGCUUGGGGUGUUCGAGCAAGGAGCAAAGGAGGACAUGGGGCACGUCCCUCUUGGAAGCUCAGGUGGCCGUGGUUGGAGAGACGUUACACCUGGAUGCAGUGAUUUGGGAUGCUUUCCAUGGCACCUCUCUCCCAGCCUGGCAGAGUAGUCUUGCUCAGUCCUCCACACAAGAGCGGUCCUGUUGCUGUCUGUGAAGCCGUCCAGGUACAUCCAGCCAUGCGCUCUUAUCAACACUUGCAGAAUUAUUGUCUGAUGAGUUGUAAAUACCAAAGUAUACAAGAUGCCCUGUGCUGCAGUGUGCUAAUCUACCAACUAAGGCAAAAACCAUGGUCUGCACCUUGUCUGUGGAAUGAUUUUACAGUUUUAAAAUGUUUGAGUUCCGUUGAGAAAGGCUGGCAUGGUUUAAUGACAGGCCCAAAACUGUUUGGCUCCACGGUUAUAAGGAAUACUCUGAUUUGCUUAACCAGGAAUAAACAUUUGUCACCCUUA